AAUGGACGAUGGAGUGAAAUGGACCUGGAAGAGUCCUCCGAUGACCACGUCUCCUUCCUGCUGCAGACUCACCUCCUUCUCGGUGUUCUGUCUGGAACAGUGUAGAGUCGGUUCCAGCCGCCCCGGUGCCAGGGGCCACAGCAGCAGAACCAGGGGCCAUGGCAGCAGAAACAUCAGUGAUCACAGUAACGGCCGGGGAUUCAAUGUUCUGGACCGAGACUGGACAUGGACCGGAGGAUCUGCUGCAUAGUCAUGCUGGACACGUUCACAGAUGUGACACCUGUGAAGGAACAGCCCAAACUAUAGAACUGAUGGAGGCUGAGGACAUUGUUGAUCUUCAGGACUUACCCAGGACGGUGUCUUCACUGACGUCCAGCUGCUCUUUGUCCUGGGAGCAGAUAGACAAC